UGCAAUAAACUCGAAUUAUAUGUGUAUCCUACAGAAAAUGCAGUAUUAAUGCUAAAAAGUGAUUUGUCCUGCAUCAUCACUAUGUUGUAUUCGUUUAAAAAAACGGCGCCAAGAAAGAAAGGACAUGCGCAUUGUUCUCCUGAGCCAGUUAACGUAGAGCUGGUACAUUGCUGUCUUCACUGGAGUGCUGCAAGCUCGAAGUGUGGCUGCAGCACUUCUCGCUCGUAACGUGAAACUUAAAAACACGCCAAGGAGUGGAUGCAAGUGAACUAUCAAUCUACUGAAACAGAAGCGGGAAAUGUAUUCGAAGACGAAAAUGCUCGCGCGACCUGUGCGUCAGACCCGGAUAAACGCACGCGAGCUGACAAAAUCCUGAGUAGCUGUUAUUCAACAUAAACACAUUUCCGCACACAUGAAGAUGGAUGACGAUAGUUCAUCUUAAAAUGAAACUUAUGUUUAUCAGCUUACCCCCAGGCCAUCCAAGAGAUGCUCUUAAGAACAACGCCCUGAUGUCCAAGGUCAACCAGCAAGAAGCUGAGAAGGCACUGCCAAAAUGGUUUACUGGGGCAAGGGACAGAGGAGGACAGAGAGCAUCAAGAAUGCAGAAAAGGAUGUCUGUUUGAGAAAGGCGGAUUUUGUUUUUCUGAAGCCAUUCUCCUCUGGACUUGCUCCGGUGUUUUGGGUCUUUGUCCUGUUGCAUCACCCAGACAUUCCUCCUACAGACAUUCACACAUUAUCCUGAAGAAUUGUCUGAUAAACUUGGGAAUUUAUCUUCCCCUCAAUGAUUGCAAGCUGGCCAUACCCUGAUGCAGCAAAGCAGGCCCAAAUCAACAGGUCUUCUCCAUAAUACUUUACAGUUGGGAUGAUGUUUUCAUAAUGAUAUUGCGUGCCCUUUCUAUGCCAGAUGUAGUGCUGUGUGUUUUUCCAAAUAGUUCAAUCUUCGUUUCAUUAGUCCACAAAACACCACUGUUGGAAUGUCAAUUUGUUCUUUUGCAAAUUUCAGGCGUGCAGCAAUGUUCUUUUUAGUACUGUAAUUAGUGACUUCCUUUGGUGUCCUGCCGUGAAUACACUGCUUGUUCAGUGUUUUACGUGUUGUAGACUCAAAUACAGAGAGUUCCAAUAAUGCCUUCAAAUCUUUGCCUGUCAUUCUGGGUUGUUUCUAUACCUCAUUAAAGGAAUAGUCUACUCAUUUUCAAUAUUAAAAUAUGUUAUUACCUUAACUAAGAAUUGUUGAUACAUC